GAGGUUUGUUUCGAGGCAGUUGCCGAGUAAGAGAAGAGACUCGCUGAUGAGCAGUCUCUGACGAAACCUUUUGGAGGAAUGUUACCAAAUUGCUAAAUCAAGAUGCACACUGGUUGUCAUUGAAGGUAUGACUGUGAAGAGAUAAAGAAGUAAAUAUUUAUACAAAGACUUGUUCUAUAUCCAUGCAUAUGCAGUCUACUUACUACUAAUGAAGAAUGAGAGAGACUUGAAGCCAUUCUGCUGCUACUGCUGUCUUUACACAGGUAAGGAGUGAGUUUGAAGGUAGCGGUGUAUACAAGAUUUAGUUGCUUUAUGUGUUCUUGUUUUUGCUGGCUUUUGGCUUUUCGUUGCUCUUACUUUUUAGAGACCCAAGUGUGUUGAAUGUGUGUGUUGUGUGUAUAGGGUCAGCAUGUGUGUGUGUGUGUGUGUGUGUGUGUGUGCGCGUGUGUGUGUGUGUGUGUGUGUGUGUGUGUGUGUGUGUGUGUGUCUGUGUCUGU